UACGUAGGUGGCAAGCGUUGUCCGGAAUUACUGGGCGUAAAGGGCGCGUAGGCGGCCUUGUAAGUCCUGUGUGAAAUCCCCCGGCUCAACUGGGGAACUGCACAGGAGACUGCUUGGCUUGAGUUCGGGAGAGGGAAGCGGAAUUCCUGGUGUAGCGGUGAAAUGCGCAGAUAUCAGGAGGAACACCAAUGGCGAAGGCAGCUCGCUGGGACGUGACUGACGCUGAGACGCGAAAGCGUGGGGAGCAAACAGG
rnacentral:rRNA from 1 species